rnacentral:lncRNA from 1 species
UGCCGGAGUUUUGAAACCGGAGUUGCACACUUCUCUUCAAACUCUUUAACAAUAUCCAUUGCUUUAGCCCACUUGCAGGAGUUCUGCAUCCAGUGACGCACCACCAGAACCACCGCCGCAGUCACCGCGGCGGCACCCACCACCGCCGCCGCUACCGCUACCUUACCCAUGAUCUCAAAUUAAAGAAAGAUGAUUUUUUGAAAAAAAGAUUGAAUUUUUUUGGGUUUAAUUGGGGAUUUGAUGGUAAAGAUUUGAACUUUGUUGAGUUUGGUUUGUGGGUUAUGAAAGCGGGAUUGAUUCUGAUGAUCUGAAUAGAUUUAGGAACAAGAACGAGUGUUCGUGAGGAUGGUUCGUUCGUUGGGGGCAACCAAGACUGUGAGGACGAAGACUGUUAUUAUGGAACGGAUCUCUGACCUUUUUUCGAAACUUGAUUUUGAUUUUGGAUCUGGACGAUCUGGGCCGAUGUGAACCUAUGAAGAAGGAGCAACGAAGAAACAGAGAAAUCA